ensembl:lncRNA
CACGCCUCACCUGCGGACACCAGCCCCAUGCCCAGCCUCUCGGCCUGCUCCCGCUUCUUCCCUUCCAGCUUCUGCAGCUUCUUCUCCUCCUUCUUCCGGUCAAUCUGGAGCUCCUGGUAGGCCAGGCGCAUGGAGGCGACCCUGGAGGACGGGGAGAGUCAGAGUCUGGCACCCACGCCUGCCCCCACCAGCCCCUAGCCAACACGCACAUGGACUCCUCCACCUGCUUCUUGGCAUCUGCUGCCUGCUGCUCACGGAGCUUCUCUGCCACCUGGGCCUGCCGCCUCGAUCUCACUGAAGCUCUGGCUGCUCACCUUCUGGGCCCCCAGGCCUUUCUUGGCCCCCAGCUGGGAACGGAACCAGGGGCCCUGGGGCCUUGCCAGGCAGGCUCCUCUGCUCCCCACAGACCCCGGAGCUCUAGCCACACCCACAAGAAUGGUCCCUCUUACAGUUAGGAUCACAGACUGGAGCUGGUGGGUGUGGCCGGACAGAACAGUGGGUUCUGCUGGAGCCAGGCUCCAGGAGGCUCACACUGCCCCAGCCAAGGCCUCAGAGGACAAGACAAGCCUCACCUCACCGAUGAGGCUCCUGUGGGCCCCACUUCCUGCUCAGCAUGACCUCAUGGAGAUGGACAUCAAUAAAUCCCUUCCACAGACAAGUCAGGUGCGUUAAGCUACCUCUGCCAGUGCAUGGCAAGGUCAGGGUCAAUGAGGCUAACUUGAGCUGCUACCACCCUGCCGAACUGCCCCAACACCUACCCCCUUCUUGGCUGCUGCUGGCUUCUUCUUGCCGAUGAUGGAGCUUUUCAGAUCUGUGUGAGAAAGAGGGCAUCCAUGAGCCAGGACAGGGGAAGGUCAAAGGCAGUGGCCUGGCAACACCACGCAGCUACAUGGCGAGAGUGUCUAAACAGAACAGCUUCAGGCAGGGAAGGCAAAGCUGUUGCCGCCAGUUCCACCCAAUGGGAUCCAAGCCACAGACAGACAAGGUUAAGGGCGCUUGCUGAUGCCCAGCACACUGCAAGAGGAGCCCAGACCUGAAGCACCAGAGACAGUCAAGUCCCUGAACCAAAGUGAAGACUGUUAGGGAGAGCGGAUGCCAAACAGCCUCAGCUCCUAAAGCCACACACCCCAAGCAGCUGCUGGUUACCUCUGGCAGGAGGGGGCCCUGCAGCUGACAGACACAUGGACGCUGGAGGAGAAACAGACCUGAGCCUCACAGACAUGCUGCUGACCAACUAGACCAGCCUUCAUGGGGCCAGCUGGACAGUCACUCUUGCUGGCUGCCUGCCCCUACCCCCAAGAGUCAACAGAACAAACUGAGGUCAGCAAAGGGAUUGUUUACUCUAACCACGUUGAAAGGCCACAAAAAAAAAAAAAUAGAAGAGAGUUGAAGGACGGGCCAAAGACUGGCUUUGAAAGGACAGUGUCGCCUCCAGCCAUCAGAAGCUCAGAGCUGUCCUCCCACCCUGUGAAAUAGACCAUGUAGGCCAGCCCUGCUGAUACCAGGGAGAGGUGAAUGGUCUCAUGGAGGCCUCCCACACUGCUGGAUCCCAGCUCACACUCCAGGGGCAGCGCACCCAGGUCUGUCAGUACAAGGCCUGGCCUGGAAAUUGCCAGUGCAGCCAGGACUUCAAUCCCAGUCCCCAAACCAGAAAGGGCAGGUUCCCUAUCGCCUGUGGCCUCAGUCCACAUGACCAACCAGCAGAGGUCUGUAAAGGACAGUGAGGCCCAUCCUCUCCUGGCCGGCCCACCCGCCAGCCAGCAUACUGACCCAGGGAGGCCUUGUUUGAAGAGCCAAGCAAGUCGGUGUUGGGGCCCUG